GACGAACGCUGGCGGCGUGCUUAACACAUGCAAGUCGAACGGAAAGGCCCUGCUUUUGUGGGGUGCUCGAGUGGCGAACGGGUGAGUAACACGUGAGUAACCUGCCCUUGACUUUGGGAUAACUUCAGGAAACUGGGGCUAAUACCGGAUAGGAGCUCCUGCUGCAUGGUGGGGGUUGGAAAGUUUCGGCGGUUGGGGAUGGACUCGCGGCUUUUCAGCUUGUUGGUGGGGUAGUGGCUUACCAAGGCUUUGACGGGUAGCCGGCCUGAGAGGGUGACCGGCCACAUUGGGACUGAGAUACGGCCCAGACUCCUACGGGAGGCAGCAGUGGGGAAUAUUGCACAAUGGGCGGAAGCCUGAUGCAGCAACGCCGCGUGCGGGAUGACGGCCUUCGGGUUGUAAACCGCUUUCGCCUGUGACGAAGCGGGAGUGACGGUAAUGGGUAAAGAAGCACCGGCUAACUACGUG
rnacentral:rRNA from 1 species